GAUGAACGCUGGCGGCGUGCCUAAUACAUGCAAGUCGAGCGAAUGGAUUGAGAGCUUGCUCUCAAGAAGUUAGCGGCGGACGGGUGAGUAACACGUGGGUAACCUGCCCAUAAGACUGGGAUAACUCCGGGAAACCGGGGCUAAUACCGGAUAACAUUUUGAACUGCAUGGUUCGAAAUUGAAAGGCGGCUUCGGCUGUCACUUAUGGAUGGACCCGCGUCGCAUUAGCUAGUUGGUGAGGUAACGGCUCACCAAGGCAACGAUGCGUAGCCGACCUGAGAGGGUGAUCGGCCACACUGGGACUGAGACACGGCCCAGACUCCUACGGGAGGCAGCAGUAGGGAAUCUUCCGCAAUGGACGAAAGUCUGACGGAGCAACGCCGCGUGAGUGAUGAAGGCUUUCGGGUCGUAAAACUCUGUUGUUAGGGAAGAACAAGUGCUAGUUGAAUAAGCUGGCACCUUGACGGUACCUAACCAGAAAGCCACGGCUAACUACGUGCCAGCCGCCGCCGUAA
rnacentral:rRNA from 1 species